AAUGGUGGAGGAGGCGUCGUCUUCAUCGGCGGCGGAGGAGCGGCGGAGGCGGAGGAGCUUGGUGAAGGUUCUUUUAAUGGAGGCGAGGUGAGUGGGAGGGGUUGGGCGCAACGUUUCCAUGGCCAUUGUCGCUUCUCUUCUCCUUCUUCUUCUUCUUCUUCUUCUUCUUCUUUGAGGAAUUUGUUCUCUCUUGCAGGCUACACGGAGGGUUUUAGCUUCGCCAGCUAUUAUAUGGAGAGUAGUGACAACGGUAAGAAUCUUUCGCUCCGUUCGAAACGAGCUUUUCAGAGGUUUUGUUUUGGCUUUUGUUUAAAAAAGAUAAUAAUGCGGAGAGAAGGAGAUAUUAAUUUUUUUAAAAAUUUUUAAGAACGGAGGAAGGAGGUGCAAGAAGGUGCUGGUAGAUUCUCUACAAACUCUGGUGGAUCAUCGAUCUGCAGGUGCGCCGCGCAAUCUUCAUCUGUGAUUCAAUGGUCAUAAUCUAAAUUUCUCUGCUCUCACAGACGUAUUAAUUCCCUUAUCCUAUUAGUUGUUACAUUUGAAAUGUGAAAUGCUAAAACAAAUUACUAAUUAUGAUAUGUUCAAAAUCUACUCAACAAACACUUAAGAAUAAAUUGCAUUCGAUUAAACAAUAGUACGAGUACUUGCUAUUAUUAUAAUAUUUAAAAGUGUUAGAAAAGUUAGUAUACAACCAAUCAAAAGUAAAACUAGCAAACACCGAGGUGGCGAGGUCCCAACUUUCGCACAAUAUUCCCCCAUUAUUUGGAUUCUCGUGUUAAUAGGAGCAUGUCCCCCAUUAAAGGUAAUGAAGCAGAGGAUUAAAAUAAGCAAGGAAAUGAGCUUUGGUUUAUUGGGAGUAGAGAAAUCUUGGAAUAAUGCAGGACCAGUGGCAGCGAACCUAAAUCAUGCUCGGUUGUCAGGGGUUAUUAGAUUCGUUUUACAAAUUUAAAAAAGUGUCAUAAAUUAAUCUGAUUAGGUUCCAUUUAUUAAAAAAAUAUACAUAUGAUUAAUUUAGCCGAGUAGGCCAAUUGAGUUAAAGCAGGGACUGGUGCUGUACUGCUGUGGACCAGAUCGUCUCUUUGCCCACCUGCAACCCACUUAGCUUGCCUAUCAAUCACUUUGCAGCGUAGCCCUGUACUAGCAAAAUAUUCUUAU
rnacentral:lncRNA from 1 species